CUAAAUUUUUCUAUGCAGAGCCAUCAUUCUGGUGUCCUCUGCCAAAAAUCCUACGAAGGAACAACAUUCAGGCAUUUUACUCCAUGGUGAAGCCAAGCAGAGUUGCUAUGGAGCUCUGAUCUGCAGCUUUACGGUUGUACUUUUAUUGCGGAGGGCCCAAAACGCUGUGAAAAACUGCAGCAGGACAACUAAAACACUGACCCUCUCUUCUGUUUCAUUGUGGUAUGUUUAUUGGAGGAUUACUGGGAGUUUUUCCAGUCCUGUCAGAGGAGACUGCUGGCAGAGUUGACCUUAAAAGAGACAUGGACCUAUUUUUCAAAGUGUUCUGUAUGUGUGCAGCUGUCAAACAACCUGGGACACAACAGCCAAUCUUCUGAUUUACACACUGUGGACAGAAGAAAAGACUUGGCAAGUCAAAUAUUGCCCCAAUUAUUGUCUUCCAUUCUACCUGAAAAACUGCUGGGGGAAAUGAGACAACUGGGGACACUGCUACUGAGAAGGCAUGUGCCCAAGGGAGGGAAUUGCAGUGGAGUUGUGGUACUGACCUUGGGGGCUGUGUAUGUAAUAUUCCAAGAGGAUGGGAUGACAGAAAUUCCUGGUAGAGGUCAGAAUGGCCGUGCAGAGAUGUCCUUGGAAUUAAGCAUAUUUUUCGAACUUCGGGAGACCUUCGCUUGUGAGAGGCACCAGUGGUCUAUUUUCUGGACUGUGAAGAGCUCCUUCAGAGUGUAG
rnacentral:lncRNA from 1 species